rnacentral:rRNA from 1 species
ACUGAAUAGAUACCCCGGUAGUCCACGCUGUAAACGAUGUUCACUCGCUGUUUGCGAUACACAGUAAAGCGGCUGAGCGAAAGCAUUAAGUGAACCACCUGGGGAGUACGAUCGCAAGGUUGAAACUCAAAGGAAUUGACGGGGGCCCGCACAAGCGGAGGAACAUGUGGUUUAAUUCGAUGAUACGCGAGGAACCUUACCUGGGCUUAAAAUGUAGAUUGCAUUUUCGGGAAACCGGAAUUCCCUUCGGGGCUAUUUACAAGGUGCUGCAUGGUUGUCGUCAGCUCGUGCCGUGAGGUGUCGGGUUAAGUCCCAUAACGAGCGCAA